UGCUGCUCUCCAGUCUGCUGCUGAUCUGCACGGGAACCGCCAGCUUCACCAGCCUUUUCUUUAUCUGCUCUGCAGGAAGAUGAGGACUCUCAAGGCAUCAACCCUGGUGCUUCUCCUUGGUCUGUUCUCUUUCGGUGCUUACCGUGUGGGACAACUCAGCACUUUAACCUGGAGCACUGCAAAAGAGUUAGGAGAGCUGAGCAAAACCCUGUCCCUGCCCGUCCAGCUCCGAAACCUCCAGGAACAGCUUUAUAAUCUGCGCUGGAGCGCAAAGGAUGUCACUGAGCGGGCUCUGCAGGAAGGGCUGAAGCAGGCAAAGCUCCCAGGCGUUACCGGACGGGUAAGGGCACAAGGCAGAAGGAUCUGCUCAGGGGUUUUAUCCUCCCUCCGGCACGUAUCCUACUCCAUUCCUCUCACAGCCAACAGGCUGGUGCUGCUGGAACAAGUGCUGCCAUGGCCACGCUUCCUUUUCCUGUUGCUCCACACGUCCUUAUGGGGGAGAGAUAGCGUGAUGGGAAUGCCAGCUGUCUGAGUCGGACCUUCCUCUGCGCCCAGAUCUCGGGUCCUCCUCAAGGGAGGGCUGGAAAGAAAGAAUGGUCUCAGAGGUCCAGAGUUAAGCCAGGCCUAUCUCAUGCCCAGAAGGCUUGUCUGUCCGUGCUGCCUGGCCUGGGGCCUCUCCGAAGGAACAGCCCCGUCCCACAGCUCCAGCAUUCAGAGCACUGGAGUGAGCAGCCCCCCCUUUCUGAUCCCAACAAUCAGAGCAGAGCAAACCUGGGAGGCUUCCAGGCAAUGUGGGCGUUCCCUCCAUCUGAAACGGGCCUUGUACCCGCUCACCUUGGCUGGCCUUGCAGGGGAGCUGCUUGCCCCGGUCCUUCUCCUUCCAACAGGCGCUCUCCUUUGUGUUCCCAGGCUGUUCACGAGAUCAUCAAUCAAGCUUUGGAGAAGCUGGAAGAAAUGCAGGUCCCGAUGCCGGAUUACGCCCUGAAAUCAGCAGGUGCCGUGACAUUGUACAAUCAAACGAGUUUCAAAGCACCUCCUGUCCAGACUGACAAGAUGGGCAUUGGAACAUGCCCAGGGGUAGGAGAGAAGGGGCGAGAAGUCACGGGUCACCUCGUGCCCUAAAAGUGCCCCCAGUGACAGAGCCUGUAACGGGACAGACCCCAUGGGAAGCACAGAAAGGCUGGUUCACAUUCUUGCCUAUUUCCACGGCCAAAUGUGACAGUUCGAUGACUCCCUGCUGUGUGUUCUAGAGGGGUCGUGCCAGCAAGACAGAGGGGAACCCACUGUAGGACAUGGAUGACAACUGAGAAGCCUUUUUCAAGUCAACAGUGCAAUAUUCCUCCUGACCCUGCCUGAUGAUCAUGCUCGUGUUUGAAUUUCCAGGGGCAGCCAUUAUUCUUUCCAAGACUUCUCCAUCCCUCCGGACUGCCAAAGCCAAGGUGUUCUUGUACUCCCUGCCGGUGAUGGAUUACAUGAGGUCUCCUGAGCUGAUUCUGGAGCCGGACAAUCAUCCUGGCAACUGCUGGCCCUUCCCAGGGAGUCAGGGACACGUCUUCAUCAAGCUGUCCAUGCCAGUCGUUCCCAGAGCCGUCACCAUGGCCCAUGUCUCAGGGACAGCGUUCCAUGGAGAAAGCAUCUCCGGAGCUCCCAAGGACUUUGCUGUCUAUGUAAGUGAUUUCUCUAGAGUUGGGGGCUCAGGGUUCCGGAGCAUUUCUGAGCAGGCAAUGAAGUUGGGUCAAAGAUUCUGGUGGCCUGAAGCUUCCUCCUGUCUCAGAACAAACAGGCUCCUUGGAGUUGCUUCCUUCCCAUUGUAUUCCUCUUUUAUUCAA